UACAGAGGUCUCAAGCGUUGUUCGGAAUUACUGGGCGUAAAGGGUGCGCAGGCCGCGCGGGCAGUCAAAUGUGUAAUUCAGGGGCUCAACCCCUGCACUGCGCUUGAUACUUCCGCGCUCGAGCUUUGGAGAGGAGUUCUGGAAUUCUCGGUGUAGCAGUGAAAUGCGUGGAUAUCGAAGAAGAACGACUUUAGGGGCGUAGGCAAAGAACUCUGGGACAAAAUGCUGACGCUCAUGACACGAAGGCUAGGGUAGCGAACAGG
rnacentral:rRNA from 1 species